GGAUCCUUAGUAUAAUGGUAGUACCGCAGACUUUUAAUCUGUUAGUCUGGGUUCGAAUCCCAGGGGAUCCACCA
rnacentral:tRNA from 1 species